UCUGGUUGAUCCUGCCAGUAGUCAUAUGCUUGUCUCAAAGAUUAAGCCAUGCAUGUCUAAGUAUAAGCAAUUUAUACAGUGAAACUGCGAAUGGCUCAUUAAAUCAGUUAUCGUUUAUUUGAUAGUUCCUUUACUACAUGGUAUAACUGUGGUAAUUCUAGAGCUAAUACAUGCUUAAAAUCUCGACCCUUUGGAAGAGAUGUAUUUAUUAGAUAAAAAAUCAAUGUCUUCGGACUCUUUGAUGAUUCAUAAUAACUUUUCGAAUCGCAUGGCCUUGUGCUGGCGAUGGUUCAUUCAAAUUUCUGCCCUAUCAACUUUCGAUGGUAGGAUAGUGGCCUACCAUGGUUUCAACGGGUAACGGGGAAUAAGGGUUCGAUUCCGGAGAGGGAGCCUGAGAAACGGCUACCACAUCCAAGGAAGGCAGCAGGCGCGCAAAUUACCCAAUCCUAAUUCAGGGAGGUAGUGACAAUAAAUAACGAUACAGGGCCCGUUCGGGUCUUGUAAUUGGAAUGAGUACAAUGUAAAUACCUUAACGAGGAACAAUUGGAGGGCAAGUCUGGUA
rnacentral:rRNA from 1 species